AAUAGAUACCCCGGUAGUCCAUGCCGUAAACGUUGGGCACUAGGUGUGGGGUCCAUUCCACGGAUUCCGUGCCGCAGCUAACGCAUUAAGUGCCCCGCCUGGGGAGUACGGCCGCAAGGCUAAAACUCAAAGAAAUUGACGGGGGCCCGCACAAGCGGCGGAGCAUGCGGAUUAAUUCGAUGCAACGCGAAGAACCUUACCAAGGCUUGACAUACACCGGAAAAGUGCAGAGAUGUGCUCCCCGCAAGGUCGGUGUACAGGUGGUGCAUGGUUGUCGUCAGCUCGUGUCGUGAGAUGUUGGGUUAAGUCCCGCAACGAGCGCAACCCUCGUCCCAUGUUGCCAGCGGGUUAUGCCGGGGACUCAUGGGGAGACUGCCGGGGUCAACUCGGAGGAAGGUGGGGAUGACGUCAAAUCAUCAUGCCCCUUAUGUCUUGGGCUUCACGCAUGCUACAAUGGCCGGUACAAAGGGCUGCGAUACCGUAAGGUGGAGCGAAUCCCAAAAGCCGGUCUCAGUUCGGAUUGGGGUCUGCAACUCGACCCC
rnacentral:rRNA from 1 species